rnacentral:rRNA from 1 species
AUUGAACGCUGGCGGAAUGCUUUACACAUGCAAGUCGAACGGUAGAGGGGGCAACCCCUCGAGAGUGGCGAACGGGUGAGUAAUAUAUCGGAACGUGCCCAGUCGUGGGGGAUAACGUAGCGAAAGUUACGCUAAUACCGCAUACGAUCUAAGGAUGAAAGCGGGGGAUCGCAAGACCUCGCGCGAUUGGAGCUGCCGAUAUCAGAUUAGGUAGUUGGUGGGGUAAAGGCUCACCAAGCCAACGACCUGUGGCUGGUCUGAGAGGACGACCAGCCACACUGGAACUGAGACACGGUCCAGACUCCUACGGGAGGCAGCAGUGGGGAAUUUUGGACAAUGGACGCAAGUCUGAUCCAGCCAUUCCGCGUGCAGGAUGAAGGCCCUCGGGUUGUAAACUGCUUUUGUACGGAACGAAAAGGUCUCUCUUAAUACGGGGGACUCAUGACGGUACCGUAAGAAUAAGCACCGGCUGACUACGUGCCAGCCGCCGCCGUAACAC